rnacentral:lncRNA from 1 species
GUUGGGUGAACUUGUCACCAAUUAGUCCAAGCUAACAUAGUGCCAGGCCGUAGCAUGGGGUCCUGGUCUUCCUGUCAUACAUACAUUACUUACCAUUUUCCCAGGGCCUCCUCUAGGCUCCUGGUCUUCGAGUCCACAAUCGUGCCAGGCCGUAGAAUGGGGUCCUGGUCUUUCAUUUCCGUGCCAGGCCGUAGAAUGGGGUCCUGGUCUUCCUGUCAUGGACUAACUGGGUCAUCCAACAUUCACCCACAUCAACAAUAAUCAAUGCAAUGCGGCAUAUUCGUGAAUACUAAUGCAAUCAUCCUGUUACAUAAUCAUGAUGCAUGAAACAUGAUAAAACAUUUAAUUUAAAAGAUUG